rfam:TPA: Bos taurus chromosome 15, whole genome shotgun sequence.
UCCCUGGCAGUCCAGUGGUUAGGACACUGCACUCUCACUGCGGAGGGCCCAGGUUUAGUUCCUGACUGGGGAA